UCUAGGGGGCUUCUGGGGGGGGUGUCAUAAAUAUAAAGGGAAGGGUAAACCCCUUUGAAACCCCUCCUGGCCAGGGGAAAGCUCCUCUCACCUGUAAAGGGUUAAGAAGCUAAAGGUAACCUCGCUGGCACCUGACCAAAAUGACCAAUGAGGAGACAAGAUACUUUCAAAAGCUGGGAGGAGGGAGAGAAACAAAGGGUCUGUGUCUGUCUGUAUGCUGGGUCUUUGCUGGGGAUAGACCAGGAAUGGAGUCUUAGAACUUUUAACAGAGACAAACACCUACAAGAUCUCUAUCAAGCAUUCUUACAACUACAAUACCCACCUGCGGAAGUGAAGAAACAGAUUGAUAGAGCCAGAAAAGUUCCCAGAAGUCACCUACUACAGGACAGGCCUAACAAAGAAAAUAACAGAAUGCCACUAGCCGUCACCUUCAGCCCCCAACUAAAACCCCUCCAACACAUUAUUAAGGAUCUACAACCUAUCCUGAAGGAUGACCCAACCCUCUCACAAAUCUUGGGAGACAGGCCAGUCCUUGCCUACAGACAGCCCCCCAACCUGAAGCAAAUACUCACCAGCAACCACAUACCACACAACAGAACCACUAACCCAGGAACCUAUCCUUGCAACAAAGCCCGUUGCCAACUGUGCCCACAUAUCUAUUCAGGGGACACCAUCACAGGGCCUAAUAACAUCAGCCACACUAUCAGAGGCUCGUUCACCUGCACAUCCACCAAUGUGAUAUAUGUCAUCAUGUGCCAGCAAUGCCCCCUGCCAUGUACAUUAGUCAAGCUGGACAGUCUCUACGUAAAAGAAUAAAUGGACACAAAUCCGAUGUCAAGAAUUAUAACAUUCAUAAACCAGUCGGAGAACACUUCAAUCUCUCUGGUCACGCGAUUACAGACAUGAAAGUUGCUAUAUUACAACAAAAAAACUUCAAAUCCAGACUCCAGCGAGAGACUGCUGAAUUGGAAUUCAUUUGCAAAUUGGAUACAAUUAACUUAGACUUGAAUAGAGACUGGGAGUGGCUAAGUCAUUAUGCAAGGUAACCUAUUUCCCCUUGUGUUUUCCUACUCCCCCUCCCCCAGAUGUUCUUGUUAAACCCUGGAUUUGUGCUGGAAAUGGCCCAACUUGAUUAUCAUACACAUUGUAAGGAGAGUGAUCACUUUAGAUAAGCUAUUACCAGCAGGAGAGUGGGGUGGGGGGAGGUAUUUUUUCAUGCUUUAUGUGUAUAAAAAGAUCUUCUACACUUUCCACAGUAUGCAUCCGAUGAAGUGAGCUGUAGCUCACGAAAGCUUAUGCUCAAAUAAAUUGGUUAGUCUCUAACGUGCCACAAGUCCUCCUUUUCUUUUUGCGAAUACAGACUAACA